GCAUAUCAAUAAGCGGAGGAAAAGAAACUAACAAGGAUUCCCUUAGUAACGGCGAGUGAAGAGGGAAGAGCUCAAAUUUUAAAUCUAUCAUGUUGUACAUGAUCGAGUUGUAAUUUGAAGAAGCGUUUUCUCGUACUUUAUGAUCAGUAUAAGUUCUCUUGGAACAGGACAUCAUAGAGGGUGAUAAUCCCGUCUGUUACUGGUUGUGAGGUUCGUUAUGAUACGCUUUCAAAGAGUCGAGUUGUUUGGGAUUGCAGCUCCAAAUGGGUGGUAAACAUCACCUAAGGCUAAAUAUUUGCGAGAGACCGAUAGCGAACAAGUACCGUGAGGGAAAGAUGAAAAGAACUUUGAAAAGAGAGUUAAAAAGUAUGUGAAAUUGUUGAAAGGGAAACGAUUGAAGUCAGUCGUGCAGUCAUCAAUUCAGCGGUUAACAUUUUUAUGUUUCCGUGUAAUUUGGUGUCUGUUGGUUAGCAUCAAUUUUGAUUGUUAUAAAAAGGUUAAGGGGAUGUGGCUCCUUCGGGAGUGUUAUAACCCUUAGCGUAAUGUGACGAUUAGGAUUGAGGUUUGCAACGAAUACCUUUUAGGGCAGUUUCACCUGGCCUCUCGUGGAAUUAUAGAUAGUUAAGAGCAUGCUCUUAACUAUCUAUAAUUCUACGAAAAGGUUGGAGUGUAAAACUAAUUCGUUAAGGAUGUUGACGUA
rnacentral:rRNA from 1 species